rnacentral:rRNA from 1 species
UACGUAGGUGGCAAGCGUUGUCCGGAAUUAUUGGGCGUAAAGCGCGCGCAGGUGGUUCCUUAAGUCUGAUGUGAAAGCCCACGGCUCAACCGUGGAGGGUCAUUGGAAACUGGGGAACUUGAGUGCAGAAGAGGAAAGUGGAAUUCCAAGUGUAGCGGUGAAAUGCGUAGAGAUUUGGAGGAACACCAGUGGCGAUGGCGACUUUCUGGUCUGUAACUGACACUGAGGCGCGAAAGCGUGGGGAGCAAACAGG